rnacentral:rRNA from 1 species
CGCGUGAGGAACCUGCCUCAAAGAGGGGGACAACAGUUGGAAACGACUGCUAAUACCGCAUAAGCCCACAGGUCGGCAUCGACCAGGGGGAAAAGGAGCAAUCCGCUUUGAGAUGGCCUCGCGUCCGAUUAGCUAGUUGGUGAGGUAAUGGCCCACCAAGGCAACGAUCGGUAGCCGGACUGAGAGGUUGAACGGCCACAUUGGGACUGAGACACGGCCCAGACUCCUACGGGAGGCAGCAGUGGGGAAUAUUGCACAAUGGGGGAAACCCUGAUGCAGCGACGCCGCGUGGAGGAAGAAGGUCUUCGGAUUGUAAACUCCUGUUGUUGAGGAAGAUAAUGACGGUACUCAACAAGGAAGUGAC